rnacentral:rRNA from 1 species
ACGGGGGGGGUAAGCGUUGUUCGGAAUUACUGGGCGUAAAGGGCUCGUAGGCGGCCAACUAAGUCAGACGUGAAAUCCCUCAGCUUAACUGGGGAACUGCGUCUGAUACUGGAUGGCUUGGAUUCGGGAGAGGAAUGCGGAAUUCCAGGUGUAGCGGUGAAAUGCGUAGAUAUCUGGAGGAACACCGGUGGCGAAGGCGGCAUUCUGGGCCGAUACUGACGCUGAGGAGCGAAAGCGUGGGGAGCGAACAGGA